rnacentral:rRNA from 2 species
GGAAAGAUGAAAAGAACUUUGAAAAGAGAGUUAAACAGUACGUGAAAUUGUUGAAAGGGAAACGAUUGAAGUCAGCCAUACCAACGGGAAAUCAACCUUUUGAGCUUUGUCUCGUGGGUUCGAAGAGUUUUAAACGCCUUCGGGUUCGCGAGAUUGGGAUCUUCUGGUGUACUUUCUCGUACGGUUAGUCAACAUCGGUUUUGAAUGUCAUAAAAUGACUGGAGGAAUGUAGCUUCGAACUCGUAUCGAAGUGUUAUAGCCUUUGGUAGAUGUGAUGUUUGAGACCGAGGAUUGCAACGGAUACCUUUCAUGGGCUAUUCGUCUGAUCUCUGAUACGUUGCCUUGACGUUGAAAGCUUGCUUACGAUGUUAGGGUAUUACGGUCAAAAGGUUAGAACGGAUUAAAUUCGUUAAGGAUGUUGACGUAAUGACUUUAAACGACCCGUCUUGAAACACGGACCA